rnacentral:rRNA from 1 species
UACGUAGGGUGCAAGCGUUGUCCGGAAUUACUGGGCGUAAAGCGUGCGCAGGCGGUUCGUCGUGUCCGAUGUGAAAGCCCCGGGCUCAACCUGGGAAUGGCAUUGGAAACUGGCGGACUCGAGUGUGGCAGAGGGGGGUGGAAUUCCGCGUGUAGCAGUGAAAUGCGUAGAGAUGCGGAGGAACACCGAUGGCGAAGGCAGCCCCCUGGGCUAACACUGACGCUCAGGCACGAAAGCGUGGGGAGCAAACAGG